rnacentral:rRNA from 1 species
UACGAAGGGGGCUAGCGUUGUUCGGAAUUACUGGGCGUAAAGGGCGCGUAGGCGGUUUGACCAGUCAGGUGUGAAAUUCCCGGGCUUAACCUGGGGGCUGCACUUGAUACUGUCAGGCUUGAAUUCGGGAGAGGAUAGUGGAAUUCCUGGUGGAGCGGUGAAAUGCGCAGAUAUCAGGAGGAACACCCGUAGCGAAGGCGGCACUCUGGGCCGAUUCUGACACUGAGGAGCGAAAGCGUGGGGAGCGAACAGG